CAUACCACAUUAAAACACCUGCUCUCAUGCGAUCACCAAAAUUAAACAAUAUCGGACCUGGUCAGUAUCAAGAUGGGUGACCACAUGGGAAUCUCAGGUACU